GUGGGGAAUAUUGGACAAUGGGCGGAAGCCUGAUCCAGCCAUGCCGCGUGUGUGAAGAAGGCCUUUUGGUUGUAAAGCACUUUAAGCGAGGAGGAGGCUCCUUUAGUUAAUACCUAAAGUGAGUGGACGUUACUCGCAGAAUAAGCACCGGCUAACUCUGUGCCAGCAGCCGCGGUAAUACAGAGGGUGCGAGCGUUAAUCGGAUUUACUGGGCGUAAAGCGUGCGUAGGCGGCUUUUUAAGUCGGAUGUGAAAUCCCUGAGCUUAACUUAGGAAUUGCAUUCGAUACUGGAAAGCUAGAGUAUGGGAGAGGAUGGUAGAAUUCCAGGUGUAGCGGUGGAAUGCGUAGAGAUCUGGAGGAAUACCGAUGGCGAAGGCGACUCACUGGCCCGUUACUGACGCUGAGGCGCGAAAGCGUGGGGAGCAAACAGGAUUAGAUACCCUAGUAGUCC
rnacentral:rRNA from 1 species